UACAGAGGGGGCAAGCGUUGUUCGGAAUUACUGGGCGUAAAGGGCGCGUAGGCGGCCCGCUAAGUCGAACGUGAAAUCCCCGGGCUCAACCCGGGAACUGCGUCCGAUACUGGCAGGCUUGAAUCCGGGAGAGGGAUGCGGAAUUCCAGGUGUAGCGGUGAAAUGCGUAGAUAUCUGGAGGAACACCGGUGGCGAAGGCGGCUCGCUGGGCCAUUCCUGACGCUGAGACGCGAAAGCUAGGGGAGCGAACAGG
rnacentral:rRNA from 1 species